GGAGACAUGACAGCCAUGAAACGUUUUCCAGACUUUACCUACUCACUGAUUACCAGAGGGCCCACCCCUGCUCAGCCCUCAGACUGUAAUGAUGAUGCAGAAAACCGUCCCAAUAAUACACAGGAUAAUGAUUUGUAUCACAUGUACUGCAGCAUCACAGACCCAGCAGAGUUAUAAAUCUACAGUCUGCUGCAGAUCAGAAUCAGCUUUGCUGUGUAUUUAAUAAUUACAUCAAUUAAUUCAAACAUUACAGCAUCUACUGUAAAAAAACACAAGCUUUUCUGUUUCAGAGUAUGGAACAUUUUCUGUGUAUAUGUUUUCUUUGGAAAGUAGUAUUAAAAUGAAAAUGAUAGAUGUUUUACGCAAAUGUGGAACUCUGUAUGGGGGAUUACAUACAUUAUAUUUUAAAAUUAGUUUUUAGAUGAAACUAAUCACAAACAUAAAAAGCUUUCUUAGAUUUCUGCCAUUUUACACAAAGUUUCUAUGUGAAUAAGAUCUAUAAAUCUCUGUAAAUAAAGUUUAAAACUGCAAAAAAUAUGCAAAAAACAGGUUAUCUAAAAGUUUAAAUUUUCUAGCCCCCCUUCUGCCACAAAGUUAUUGUUUUUUUCACAGAUGUUUUAUGCCUAUCAAAGAGCAGAUAAAUCCUGUUAUUAAUUGAUUAUAAUCAAUUAAGUUUAAUAUACUUUAUAGCACAGUGUUUCCCUCAGGCAACAACCCCCUUUUUUAUUAUUUAAAUGUAUUUUUACA